rnacentral:lncRNA from 1 species
ACUUAAGUAUCAAAAGAUCCCCUAUUGGACAACUUCCGACAAGCGGACUUGAUUUUGUAGGUCUGCUAUCCUCCGAUAAUCAUGUGCAACACCUCAGCUCUUGGCCAACUAUCUCGUUGAAGAUUUGCAGGAACAAGUUCUAUUCUAAUUCUGAUUUCGAAGUAGAAUGAGAAUGGUCCAAUCCUCUUAAGACUUAAUAUUGACUCUCU